UUGGCUGAUAUCGAGUUAUUGGCCUACAUCCUCAAGCCAUUAAAUAAUUUGUAGACUUGGAUCCAAAUGGGACUAUAUCGAUUUUUUUGUCAACAUAAAGCUUUAAUUAUCGAUGUUCUAUGAUUGAAGCUCAAAAAUAACAAUUGUUUACGCUAAAAAGAUACUCAAUAAGACACAUUCUACGAAAAGAGUAUUCGGAUUCUAGAUAAUCGACGCAUAUUAACAAACGUCGAAGUUACAACUCAAAUACUUACAUAAUUCUACAGCCGCGAGGAAAAUAUGGACUCUCAUGAGUACGGUGUUAUUUGUUUUUUACCGUACAAGCCGUCAUUAGAUGCUACUUAAUAAAUAAGUUAUGAAGAACUGUCGUGUCGCCGCCGGGGUCUUUGUGGAAAAGAACCGAAGACUGUGGUUACAAUGAACGG